rnacentral:rRNA from 1 species
UACGUAGGGGGCUAGCGUUGUCCGGAUUUAUUGGGCGUAAAGAGCGUGUAGGCGGCCAGGUAGGUCUGCUGUGAAAACUCGAGGCUCAACCUCGAGAUGUCGGCGGAAACUAUCUGGCUAGAGUCCGGAAGAGGAGAGUGGAAUUCCUGGUGUAGCGGUGAAAUGCGCAGAUAUCAGGAAGAACACCCGUGGCGAAGGCGGCUCUCUGGGACGGUACUGACGCUGAGACGCGAAAGCGUGGGGAGCGAACAGG